rnacentral:rRNA from 1 species
AGGACGAACGCUGGCGGUGUGCUUCACACAUGCAAGUCGAACGAGGUAGCAAUACCUAGUGGCGGACGGGUGAGUAACGCGUGGGAAUCUGCCUUUGAAUGGGGGAUAACGGGCCGAAAGGUCCGCUAAUACCGCAUAGGCCGCAAGGUUAAAGGAGUAAUCCGUUCAAAGAUGAGCCCGCGUCCGAUUAGCUAGUUGGUAGGGUAAAAGCCUACCAAGGCGACGAUCGGUAGCUGGUCUGAGAGGAUGAUCAGCCACAAUGGGACUGAGACACGGCCCAUACUCCUACGGGAGGCAGCAGUGGGGAAUUUUACGCAAUGGGCGAAAGCCUGACGUAGCGACACCGCGUGAGCGAAGAAGCCCUUUGGGGUGUAAAGCUCUGUCAGCUGGAACGAAAAAAUGACGGUACCAGCAGAGGAAGCAUCGGCUAACUACGUGCCAGCAGCCGC